UCCUGAAAGGCUGGUCUCACUCCUACUGUGCUCCUGCAACAGCACCAAGUAUAUUUCCAGGCAACUGGUGAGCAGGGCUGAGAACUUGCCCCAGACCACAAGUCUCCCAGCUGAGAAAGCACAGCUCCUCAGUUGUCCCACAGAGCCUGCAGUGGCAAUCCACCUCCUUCAAAAGUUCUGUGAAUUCUCUCAGCUUUCCUGGACAGGCUAGAUGCUGACAGCUUGAUCUUGGACCUCAAGUUUUCCGAAUUGUGAUAAAUAGAUGUUUAUAAUAAAGCCACCCAGUCUGUGGUAUCUUGUUGUGAUAGCUGGACCUGACUAAUACACAGGGCAUGUGGCAAGUUUAAGGGGAAGAUGUCUUUCUGAAACAUUUGAAUCAAUCAGAAGUUCUUUUGGAACAACUAAGGAAAGAUGUCAGCUUGCUGCCUCAAAAUGCUGUUUGAUGACACUGGUUUAGAAAAUAGAAAACAGAUUUUUCUUUUCUCCGAAGAAAUAGAAAACUUUCCUCUGUACUCCAAGGGAUAUACAGGAAGAAUAGAAAUAUGAAUUUGAACUGUGACUAAGAGUCAGCAUGUACUUUCCCUUCUCUGGAAAAAGAAAAGAAAAAAGCUGGAGAAGUAAAGCUCAGAAGCACGGUUGGGUAUGGCUGAGUUAAGUAGACUACAUGAAAAAUAAACAGUCAACAAUCUUACAGAGAAAAUGAAUUUUGCUCUUUGAUGUAAGAAAAAGCCCACUCACCUUUAUUUUUAAAAUGUCCUGAGUUGAGGUAAACAAUAUCUAUUUUUGCUAUUAAAAAAUUCUAUUUCUGUCUGAUAUUUUUCCCAAUUGAUAGAAAUCAGAAGAACACUCCUAGAGAAAUUAACACUAAAAUGCAAAAGCACUGUAAUAGCUCCUCUUUGAUAUUAUGAAUUGACUUUA
rnacentral:lncRNA from 1 species